rnacentral:tRNA from 1 species
AAGGAUUUAAGCUAAAAAAACUAUCAACCUUCAAAGUUGAAAUUAGGGCAACCUAAGCCUUA